rnacentral:rRNA from 1 species
AUUGAACGCUGGCGGCAGGCCUAACACAUGCAAGUCGAACGAGUGGCGGACGGGUGAGUAAUGUCUGGGAAACUGCCCGAUGGAGGGGGAUAACUACUGGAAACGGUAGCUAAUACCGCAUACCAUCGGAUGUGCCCAGAUGGGAUUAGCUAGUAGGUGGGGUAACGGCUCACCUAGGCGACGAUCCCUAGCUGGUCUGAGAGGAUGACCAGCCACACUUGAACUGAGACACGGUCCAGACUCCUACGGGAGGCAGCAGUGGGGAAUAGUGCACAAUGGGCGCAAGCCUGAUGCAGCCAUGCCGCGUGUAGGAAGAAGGCCUUCGGGUUGUAAAGUACUGUCAGCGAGGAGGCGUUACUCGAAGAAGAAGAACCUGCUAACUCAGUGCCAGCAGCCGCGGUAAUAC